GAUGAACGCUAGCUACAGGCUUAACACAUGCAAGUCGAGGGGCAGCAUGAUCGAAGCUUGCUUCGAUCGAUGGCGACCGGCGCACGGGUGAGUAACGCGUAUCCAACCUUCCCUGGGGUCCGGAAUAGCCCGGUGAAAACCGGAUUAAUGCCGGAUGUCGUGCGAUGAUGGCAUCAGAGUUGCACGAAAGGCUUGCCGCCUCGGGAUGGGGAUGCGUCUGAUUAGGCAGCAGGCGGGGUGACGGCCCACCUGGCCUUCGAUCAGUAGGGGUUCUGAGAGGAAGGUCCCCCACACUGGAACUGAGACACGGUCCAGACUCC
rnacentral:rRNA from 1 species